rnacentral:tRNA from 1 species
GUCUCCGUAGCUCAUUCGGUAGAGCAACAGUCUCAUGUUACUCUUAGAUCGUGUUCCUAAAUAGUAUGAGGUAGCUGAAGGCCGUCAGUUCGAGUCUGACCGGAGACA